CCCCUCUCAGGGUCACACCUGGAGAUUUUCCAGUACUCUACCAGUCUCGGCUAUGGGAGGGAGAGUCAGGCAGAGGCCUAUCCAUUCCAUUCCUAGCUUGGCCAGUGGCUAGCGAGUGGAAGGCAAGCUGCUUCAAGU
rfam:Ornithorhynchus anatinus chromosome 1, whole genome shotgun sequence.